rnacentral:rRNA from 1 species
AUCUAUGGCCAUGCCACCCUGAACAAGCCCGAUCCCGUCUGAUCUUGGAAGCUAAGUAGGGUUGGGCCUGGUUAGUAGUUGGAUGGGAGACCACCUAGGAAGACCAGGUGCUGUAGGUA